GACGAACGCUGGCGGCGUGCUUAACACAUGCAAGUCGAACGGAAAGGCCCUGCUUUUGUGGGGUGCUCGAGUGGCGAACGGGUGAGUAACACGUGAGUAACCUGCCCUUGACUUUGGGAUAACUUCAGGAAACUGGGGCUAAUACCGGAUAGGAGCUCCUGCUGCAUGGUGGGGGUUGGAAAGUUUCGGCGGUUGGGGAUGGACUCGCGGCUUAUCAGCUUGUUGGUGGGGUAGUGGCUUACCAAGGCUUUGACGGGUAGCCGGCCUGAGAGGGUGACCGGCCACAUUGGGACUGAGAUACUGCCCAGACUCCUACGGGAGGCAGCAGUGGUGAAUAUUGCACAAUGGGCGGAAGCCUGAUGCAGCAACGCCGCGUGCGGGAUGACGGCCUUCGGGUUGUAAACCGCUUUCGCCUGUGACGAAGCGUGAGUGACGGUAAUGGGUAAAGAAGCACCGGCUAACUACGUG
rnacentral:rRNA from 1 species